GAGCCGUAGCUCGGGUGGCGAGACCUCCGGGUGUGGAGGCCGCCGGUCACGGUUCGAGCGCGCUCGAACUCGUGAUUUUCCCACCGGAACAGUAGUUCCCUGUUGUAUAUUCUCCGCUUGGAUGGAUUCCAAGCGUUUGCCUCUCACGCGUGGUGCCACAAAGGGACUGCAACGCGCCCGUUGCCUACGGAGCCUUGGGGGUUUCCGGUGAUUCCCAGAAGGACGCGGUCUUCAUAUCUGUGUGUAGUUGUAGGUCUGCUUGUACACGUGUGGUGUGAGUGUGGUGUGCGUGUGUAGGGUGGUGCGUGCGUGCGUGUAUGAACAGAUGCUACAGCUGUACCCAGAUGAGAGACGUUCAAAAAAAACU